rnacentral:rRNA from 1 species
GGCUGCAGAAUUUAUAACUGUACAAAGGUAGCAUAAUAAUUUGUUUUUUAAUUAAAAACUAGUAUGAAUGAUUAAAUGAAAUAUAAACUGUUUCAAUUAAAUAAAAAUUUAAAUUUUUAUUUAAGUUAAAAAACUUAAAUAUUUUUAAAAGACGACAAGACCCUAUAGAAUUUUAUUUAUUAUUUAAAAAUAAAAUUUAAUUAAUAUAUUUAAACUUAAAUAAUAAAUUUAAUUGGGGUAAUUUAAAAAUUAAAAAAAUUUUUUUUAUAUAAAACAUUAAUUAAUGAAUUUAAAAUCUUAAAAUUUAAAUUAUUAAAAUUAAUUACCUUAGGGAUAACAGCAUAAUUUUUUUUAAAAGACCUUAUU